UAAUACGUAGGGUGCGAGCGUUGUCCGGAAUUAUUGGGCGUAAAGAGCUCGUAGGCGGCUUGUCGCGUCGGAUGUGAAAUCCCAUGGCUCAACUGUGGGCUUGCAUUCGAUACGGGCAGGCUAGAGUUCGGUAGGGGAGACUGGAAUUCCUGGUGUAGCGGUGAAAUGCGCAGAUAUCAGGAGGAACACCGGUGGCGAAGGCGGGUCUCUGGGCCGAUACUGACGCUGAGGAGCGAAAGCGUGGGGAGCGAACAGGAUUAGAUACCCUGGUAGUCCACGCCGUAAACGUUGGGCGCUAGGUGUGGGUUCCCUUCCACGGGAUCCGUGCCGCAGCUAACGCAUUAAGCGCCCCGCCUGGGGAGUACGGCCGCAAGGCUA
rnacentral:rRNA from 1 species